UACGUGAAACCGUUUAGGGGUAAACCUGAGAAACCCGAAAGUUCGAACGAGGAGAUUCAGUGUGUCUCGGUGAGUGCGAGUGCCGUUUGUAGACGAUCGUCGUUCGCGGCAGUCGCUUCUUACGUGCGCCGUUGCUUGUCGAACGCAUGCACUUCUCCUCCAGUAGGACGUCACGACCCGUUGGGUGUCGGUCUGAGGCUUGCAGAGGAGCCCGUUCGUCGGUUUCGGCCGUUCGUUCGGACCUGUGAUGUCCCGGCCGGCUGCUCGACGGUAUGACUAAGGCGCAGAGCCGCGACUAGUUCGCGUUCGGCCCGAUACAAGCAUGGACGGUUACCUGAUCAUCGGACUUGUGCCGAUCUCGGGGCCGGGCAGCUGUUGGUGUCGGUGUUCCCGGACAGACUCUGUACUCGCCAGUCGGUGACGCUAUAGCUUUGGGUACUUUCAGGACCCGUCUUGAAACACGGACCAAGGAGUCUAGCAUGUGCGCGAGUCAUUGGGACUAUCGAAUCCUAAAGGCGCAAUGAAAGUGAAGGCAGAGCCUGGCUCAGCCGAGGGAAGAUGGGUGACUUCGGUCGCCCCGCACUCCCGGGGCGUCUCGUUCUCAUUGCGAGAAGAGGCGCACCUAGAGCGUACACGCUGGGACCCGAAAGAUGGUGAACUAUGCCUGGUCAGGACGAAGUCAGGGGAAACCCUGAUGGAGGUCCGUAGCGAUUCUGACGUGCAAAUCGAUCGUCGGAACUGGGUAUAGCGGCGAAAGACUAAUCGAACCAUC
rnacentral:rRNA from 1 species